rnacentral:rRNA from 1 species
CCUACGGGCGGCAGCAGUGGGGAAUAUUGGGCAAUGGGCGCAAGCCUGACCCAGCAACGCCGCGUGAAUGAAGAAGGCUUUCGGGUUGUAAACUUCUUUUCUCAGGGACGAAGAAAGUGACGGUACCUGAGGACUAAGCCACGGCUAACUACGUGACAGCAGCCGCGGUAAGACGUAGGUGGCAAGCGUUUUCCGGAGUUAUUGGGUGUAAAGGGCGUGUAGGCGGGAGCGAAAGUCAGAAGUGAAAACUCAGGUCUCAACCCUGAGCCUGCAUUUGAAACUGUGUUUCUUGAGUGCUGGAGAGGCAAGCGGAAUUCCGUGUGUAGCGGUGAAAUGCGUAGAUAGACGGAGGAACACCAGUGGCGAAGGCGGAUUGCUGGACAGUAACUGACGCUGAGGCGCGAAAGCGUGGGGAGCAAACAGGAUUAGAUACCCCAGUAGUC